AGCGAACGCUGGCGGCAGGCCUAACACUUGCAAGUCGAACGAACUCUUCGGAGUUAGUGGCGGACGGGUGAGUAACACGUGGGAACGUGCCUUUUGGUUCGGAAUAACUCAGGGAAACUUGUGCUAAUACCGAAUGUGCCCUUCGGGGGAAAGAUUUAUCGCCAUUAGAGCGGCCCGCGUCUGAUUAGCUAGUUGGUGAGGUAACGGCUCACCAAGGCGACGAUCAGUAGCUGGUCUGAGAGGAUGACCAGCCACACUGGGACUGAGACACGGCCCAGACUCCUACGGGAGGCAGCAGUGGGGAAUCUUGCGCAAUGGGCGAAAGCCUGACGCAGCCAUGCCGCGUGAAUGAUGAAGGUCUUAGGAUUGUAAAAUUCUUUCACCGGGGACGAUAAUGACGGUACCCGGAGAAGAAGCCCCGGCUAACUUCGUG
rnacentral:rRNA from 1 species